UAUUUGGAAACAGAGUCUUUGUAGAACUGUAGGUACAGGCCAAAAUGUGCUAAGGAGUACUGACCACAACCAGAAGCUAGGAAAGGCAAGGAAGAAUCUCAGAGGGAGGGUGAUCCUGCUGACACCUUGAUUUUGGCCUUCUAGACUCCAAAUCUAUGAGGGACUUGGUCUUUGUUGUUUUAAGUCACCCCGUACUUUGUGCGUGGUUACAUAGCUCUAGUAUUGCAAAAUACUAGCUAGCGCUUGCUGUUACAGAAAGUAAAUGCCUACCUAAUGUUUUGGAGCCUACUUUAAAAAUACAUAUUUGCUCACAUACACAUAUUUUAAACAUUCAUGUAAAUAAGUCAUUUCUGCAAUAGUUAAGAGUAUAACAACCUAAGGAUAACAUCUGCCUAGAUAUGGUUUAAUUCAAUAAAUAGAUCAGGCUUGCAUUGUCCAAAGUUGGUCUGUGUUCAGAGUGAUUUGUGUGUUCUUUGAAAUAGAUAACCAACUCUGGACCUAAGUAAACUAAGUAGAAAAUCCACAUCUUUCCACAUCCCAAAGUCUUUCUAGAUUUUUCCCCGUGCAAAUAAUUAUCACCUCUUCUCCCAAACCCAGGCACCCCCUGUCCUCACGCUGCACUCUGGAUUUACAAAGCUUCUCAUGGUGCCUUCCCAAUCCGGUCCUCACUCAUGUGUGGAGUGUCCUUUGCUGCCUUCCCAUUAAGGGCAUAAGAAUCUGAAUUGAAAUGCCUGUUUUCUCAGUGAGACUUAUCUCAGCUGGGUGGAAGCAAUUUGAUUAAAUGAGUUCAUGUUAAGGAAUUAAUGGCAACUUAUUUGAUUUUCCCAAGGAUAUUUGCAUUUUGAAAGAGGAAAAUUAUUUACAUAAAUUAGUCUUUUAUUAAAGAAAUUUAGACAGCAUGCAAUACAAAGAAUUGCAUGGUGUAGAAAGAGAUUCAGAAGGAGAUGGCCUUUCACAUUAUUCAUUAUAUCUUACCAUUAGAUAAUAGCCUACUUUACCAUUUUAGUCCAGCAACCAUAUUUCUCCCUCUGAGCAUCAUGGCAACAUAAGUGGAGACUGUAUUUUGAAGACACUGGAUAGUUUAAGAUGAGACUUUAUAUUCAAAUUUAAUAUUCAAGGAAUUUUUAGGAUAAAAACAAUUUUAGGGUUUGCAAAAAAGAGAGCCAGGUUUAAAUUUUGGAGUCAUCUCAUGGGACAAUAUUGAGUUACAUGUCUAUCUUUGGAAUGUCCCAACAUAUUCUGUGUGAACUUAAAACUGAAUAACAAAACACUUAUAAAUUGUCUGGCACAGUGCCUAAAUUUCAUUCAUUCAACAAUACUUAUCGUGGGCCUAUCAUGUCCCUAACACAUAUUAUACAAUCAAGAGAAGUUAUUUUAUUUUCUUUAUUUGUCAGCAAGCACACAGAAAAAAUAUGCAAUAGCAUGACAUUAUAAGGAUUAAAGCACACAUAUCGAUUACAGUUUAGGGAACUAUCAUUGUCUGCCAAUUAGAUUAUUUCUUUUUGCCAUAGCACUUCCAGCUUUGUAUAUAAUAUCCAUUGCGUGCAAGGUGUAGUUUUUAUUAUCAAGUUAAUCUCAAAGAGAUUUGAAUUACAUUAAGUAUUUACAUGAAACAAGAGCUUUUGUCCAGUGAUGGUGAUUGGAUUAAGGUGACAAUUCUAACUACUUCGAGUUUAAUGAUUUUUUUAAGAUACAGAAAUUUUUUUUCUCAAAAUUUACUGUAAGAGAAAAGUAUUUUUGUUUUUUGUAUUAAGGAAAUAUAUACAUGGUAUCUAAAUUGGAAAAAUCUAUUUCUUAAGUUUACAGAGCAAUGAAACUAAAUUUUUAAAACUAAAAUUUGUUCUGAUCUGGUAACUGAGUUUGAGGAAAUUGCUUCUUUCAAUUCCAUAUGAGAACAGUUCAAGAGCUGGCAUUGUCAUACUUCCUAAAUAAGGUGUGAUACAUAAAGAUAAAGAAUGUUUAAGGUCAUGACUUACCCUUAAGCUUCUAUCAAUAAUUAAGCUCUGAAGCCCUUCUAGGCAACAGCACUUUCUGUUUUCAAAGGUUAAUUGCAGAGUUUUUCUGUGUAUUUCUAUCCUUUGAGCAAAUAUUCCAUUAGCAAAUUAAUUCGCUAACUCAAAGUAUCUGAUUAUUUGUGUCUGUUUGCUGGCUGUAACAUCCCUCAGAAGUCCUUCUUUAAUGUAUGGACACAUACAAUGUGUCUAUACUCUAGUAUAACGUGGCUUUGAAUAUGGUUUUUAGCACACAGAAAAGCUUUAUAUGGUUCAACCAGUGCAUAUCAUAUCAUGUGUUUAUCUUUUUUUAUUCUGUCCAUCUGCUUAUCUUCUUCUCAUUUAUAUGUUAAUUUAAAAAUAAGAUAAUCAGGAAUGCUAAUCUGUCAGAUUCAUCUCUGCAGCUUUCUCCAGAGUUUUUAGUCCACAGUUUGGAUUGACUUUAGUCGUUUCACCAGUAUAGGACUUGGUUUCCUCUUCUAUAAAAUGAGAGAGUGGGACUCAAGGUUUUCCUUUUCAGGUUUAAUUUCCCAUCCCAUUAUUUGAAUUUCUGUGCCAGGCAAUGGUGUUGCAUUCACAGUAUACUGUAAGGCACUGUUCCCUGGGGAUGUUUAUCAUUUGGACCCAAGUUCAAGUAGUGAUGAAAUCAGUACCCGGGACUAGUGGGGAAAACUCUAGUCAUGGCUUGGGGGGCAAGCAGACUGUGGAAUAAAGUUUGCUCUAAAAUUUGCCUUUGGCAACAUAAACUUUGUCCCAUGUUUUGGGCUAUUUGUGAUCUCUCUAUGAGUAGGAUGUGAGGAUUCAGGGUAAAGAAACAGUAACUUCCCUAAAAAGGUCUUCUCUGGGCUCACCCUUCUUCUGAACUAUAUACUUUAGGUUGCUAGUUAGGUAUACAAGCUUGGAUGACCUGAUUUGAUUUUAAUUGUAUCCGUUUAUUAAGUUAGUGAAGCCAACCAUUCCAUCUUUAUUCUGUGUCAUUUUACAUAAAUGUGUUUGUUUAAUUCCCAAACUGUUUUCUCAGGGGGUAUGUGCAUGUUUGUGUAAAUUUAUUUAGUCAACACUUUUUUGAUAAGUACCUAGCAUGUAUCAGAAACAUUAGGUAGGCCCAUGGAGAAGGGCUCAUCCUAUUACUAAAGGAGAGCUUGACUCUUAUCCAGGGUUUGUUUAUCUUACACUUGCCACAGAGAAAAAACGAUCACCUCUGAAAACACAGCUUUGAGGCCCCAAAUAUAUAAAACUUAUGACAGUGCUAUAUCUCUUUCUAUUUCAUAUUUGUAUUCUUUUUAAAGAAGGUUUUAAGCUCAUAAUUUUCUAAGCACGAGUAUCCUGGUGUCACCUAUUAAGGCAAGGUAAUUAAAUUAAUAAAGCUAUGCUAUAAUAGGUAAAACUUUGGGAUGUUCAGAUGGGAAAUAGAAUGCAUUGAUCAUUGAUGCUUCAACCAUACUGUUAUUAUCUUCUGUUUCUAGAUACUCUUCUGAUGACACUUAUCAAACAUGAAACCUAUCCUUUCUCUGAGUAUUACCUAAUCCCUCAGGAAAUGAGUGGUACUUUGUUUUGGCUUUUUAUUAUUUUAGAUUUGGUGUUUUCCCUGGUUUUCAUUUUCUGAAUGUGAACAGAGAUUGACUCCAAAAGGAUUUUUUACUAGUUCAAUUUUUAGUUUAUAAUAUGAGGGCCAUGAACUAACUAACAAAUGUCUAUGGGAGUUCCCAUUGUGGCUCAGAGAAAAUAAACCUGACUAGUACCCAUGAGGACAUGGGUUCAGUCCCUGGCCUUGCUUAGUGGCCAUCAGCUGUGGUGUAGGUCAUAGAUGUGGCUCAGAUCCCGUGUUGCUGUGACAGUGGGUAGGCUGGAAGCUACAGCUCCAAUUCGACCCGUAGCCUAGGAACUUCCAUAUGUUGUGGGUGUGGCCC
rnacentral:lncRNA from 1 species